AACCCUAAUUUUGAAUCCUCACGGCUUCAAAUAUCGCCUCUCUCUCAACCGUCUCUAAACCCUUAUCAUUCUCACGAUGUUGCUCCAGAGCGGUGUCAUCCUUCAGAGCGAUUUCGAUUUCGAAGCUCCACCGCGACCACCGGCGAGGUAGCGAGCACCAUCGGCGAGCAAUUUCGAUUUCGAAUCUCCAGAGCGGCGUCUAGAUCUCUCUCUUCAUCUUUGAGAUUCAGAGAUUCAGAUCGGUCUCAGUGAUUUCAUCUCAGAGCUAUUUCGAUUUUGAAGUUCUCUCUGUCGAUUUCCAAACUCCAGCGAGGGAAUUGACAUUAAAGAAAUGCUUGUUGGUGCAUCAUUGAUGGAUGAGGCAAAUAGGACCACCGUGUCAUGCAAUUCUUAGGUAUCUUGCUUGUGCAUUUCCUGGAGUAGUUGAUCACUGGUGUCUGAUCUAUUCAAAAGGUCAAAGAUUGAAUUAGUGUUGGAUUGGCAUCACUCUAAUUUACGCUGUGGUGCAGCUACUUAUGUUCUAAAUACUACGCUUGCACCUGUGCUUGGCCUUCAAUUGAACCCACAAGCUGCUGCUGAAGGUGAAAAACUAUUGUUUGCAUCACUUGCAAAGAUUGAGUCUUUUUGGUUGAAGGGGAAUGGUCGGUUUUUGCUAGGAAGCUCUCAGUAGUUCGAGUGGAGGGUUUUAUGCUUGGACACACAAAAGCUGGAGAGUUCGAGAAGAGUUUGCACGUACAGUCACAUCAGCGAUUGGUCUUUUUGCAUCUACUGAGCUCCCUCUUCAGCGUGCUAUUCUUCCUCCUAUUUUGCAAAUGUUGAAUGAUCCAAAUCUUGUUCCCUCCUCAGGAGAUGUAUACUCGGGCUGGGCCUCAGUUUCGUGAUGAACUUUAGCGUCAUCAUCUUCCCACAUCACUGGUGAGAUAAAACCUACUAACCUUAAUCCCAAAAGGAGCAGUCCAAAAGCCAAGAAUUCCACUCGGGAGGUGUCUCUGUUUGGAGGUUGUGGAUUUGCUUGGUAGUCAUCCCAUUGUUCGGCCAAUGCCACAUCAGCAACAAUCUCAUACAUUUUCAUCUCAAGAGGUUCACCUUUCAAAGAAAGAGAAGAACAAGAACAAGAACAAGAACAAGAAGAACUAACAAGGUGAUUGCUUUUAGUGAUGAGGAGGGAGUGAGAUUUCAAUCUACUUUCUUACUAAUUGGUUGUAACGCUGCUUGUUCUAAGUAAACUGACAAGUAGACUUUGUUCAGUGGUCUGACAGUGCAAAAUGUUCUAAAAGAGAACUCUAUAGAAAUUUCCGAGGAAAGCUUCUUUGAGCUAAAGUAUGAUCCGGAGUCUGUUUGGGGUUAUAUCGAGGUAUUCAGUCCAUGUUGAAUAUCCUGUGGUUAUUCAAGCUACAUAACUUUCUCCGUUUGGUUUCAAUUUGGGAAUGUUUGUUAAAAAAAUUUGAAAAAAAAUUAAACACUAGUUUGGUGGGGGGGAAAAAUGAAAAUAUCUUAAACACUCGUCAUUUUCAUAUGUUUUUCUCUUUUGUACUAACAUUAUAUUGUAACUUCUAGGCAGUUCAUAUUAAUAUUUGGAAGAGUAUUGUAAUAUUUUUCAGAUUUGUAUUUGCAUUCAUGUUAACACACUAAGGCCUCGUUUGGGAAUCCUCAUUUUUAGCCAAAAAGUAAAAAAGUUACUAAAUUAGCCAAA